UACGGAGGGUGCGAGCGUUGUUCGGAAUCACUGGGCGUAAAGCGCGUGUAGGCGGCCUUGUAAGUUUGGUGUGAAAGCCCGGGGCUUACCCCCGGAAGUGCACUGGAAACUGCAAGGCUAGAGUACCGGAGAGGAAAGUGGAAUUCCUGGUGUAGCGGUGAAAUGCGUAGAUAUCAGGAGGAACACCGGUGGCGAAGGCGGCUUUCUGGACGGAUACUGACGCUGAGACGCGAAAGCGUGGGGAGCAAACAGG
rnacentral:rRNA from 1 species